ACAGGAUCACUGCACCUGCGAAAUGAAUUACCAAAAAAAACCCGGUAGAAAAAGAAAGUGAUUUGACGGGCCGGGGAGCAGAAGGGCACCUCCCGUUUCCUGCCCUCUUCUUGUUCUUCUUCUUUUUUCCCUACCCUCCGCCGUUGCUCUGCAAGGCACGUCCUGCACGCGCCAGAGCUAGGCGAUAAACUGGAAAGGAGCGCGCAGCGCAGGCUUCGGGCUCCUGUCUCCGCCGCGGCGUCCUCUCGCUUUUUUUUUUUUUGCUUCUUGGGAAGCACAAAGGCUCAGGUCUUUCAGGACUUGCAGGCUCUGCGCAGCGCGAUCUGAUUGUGAAUGAAACCUGCAAAGGAAUAGUCCAUCACAAUGCUAAGGUUGCUUCCCGACUGACCACAUUGCGCUUGUUUUAGCCUCUGGUUAUCUCGUCUGGAAAAAAAAACCCAGACAUCUGACCGGGUCAGACGAUACAACCCAUAUACGUACGUCGAGUCCUCAGAGUUCAAUUCUACCUGGACCAUCGCACCCAUCUUGGCCCAGAGUACUUCCGCGCCGCGCUACGAACGAGGCCAUCCGCCGCCACACGCCGUCGGCCAUGCCGCAGAGGUCGGAGGCGGGCACUGCUGGGGAGGGCGACGAGGAGCAGCGGCUGCGGGCUGCUCUGCGUCACCUGCAGGCGGAGGCGGGGGUGCUGGAGCGCCUGGUAUACAAGCACCGGAACCAGCACCGCGGCGCCGCCUAUUUCCAAUACCUCCUCAAGGUGAGGAGGGACCUGAAGCUUCUGCUCGGCGCCGGCCUCGCUGAGGUUCUCAACGCCGUGUUCCCAGUUCUCGCAUGCCGCAAGCCGGCCAACACGAUCCUCGUCCCCAACAAGCAGUCUAAGAAGAAACCUGUUGCAAACCACAGCCAUCACCAGAGGCUUUUGGGUGUAGCCCGCUUGUUAUCCCAGAUGUCUGAACCUGUUAUGAAGGCAGCAAUUCAGAUAACAUUUUUACUUGCUAGAUCAUUCUUCGUUGAUCUUUGCACGGCUGUGCUUUCUUUGCUUGCACGAGUAAGGGUCCUGAUCCAACAGAUGUUACUUGAUGUUGUGUCUAUAUACAAUAAGGUCACUGAUCUUACUGAAAGGAAGCAGGCUGUUAAGAUUAGCAUCAGUGGAGUGCAGGCUUUCAGAGAGUACUACCCCUCUAUGAAUGAUGCAUGUACAGUUCUGGAGUGUGUAUGGAUAAAAGAUAAAUUCGUUUUGCAUGAAAAGGUUAAAGAUAUCUCUCAGGAAACCCAAGUUGAGAAUCAGAAGUGCUGCGGUCCUGAAUCUACAGUCCAGUAUGAAACAAUUGCACUGAUUAGUGAAGAUAUAGCAACAACCAAUGCCGAUGCUCUCAACUUCAGCAAAUGACGAUUUGGACCCAACAUAUCUGAAUAAAUAAGAUAAGGGAAUUGUUGAAUGAGAAAAAAAUUGUACUCUGCUCAGAUUGAAAAAAAACAAGCCAGGGUUGCUACAUCUAAUGAUGUUCCUCCAAACUGGCUUGGUAACAUCACAGAAAAAUUGUACUCUGCUCAGAUUGAACCAAAAAACAUCACUGAAAAAUUGUGGUCUGCUCAGAUUGAAAAAAAAACAUCACUGAAAAAUUGUGGUCUGCUCAAAUUUACAGAAAACAUCACUGAAAACUGGUCCUAAGCUUAGACUUUACAUAAUUUCAUCACUGAAAAAUGGUCAGAAUAAAAAGAUGAGAGUUAUGGAGGUAGCAGCAUAAUAUAAUACAUUAACUACCUGCAUAGUAUAAAAAGAAGAUAGUUAUGGAGGUAACUGCAUAAUAUAAUGCAUUAAUCCAUUAAAUUAAACAAGACAAGAGGCUAAAGAGGGAGAGAAGAAAAGAGGAACAAAAGGUAAGAUUGUUGUAAGGUAAGAGGAAAACAGGAACAGAUGAAGGUAAGAGGGGAGAAGAAAAGAGGAACAACUAGCUACUUAAUAUAAUAGAUAGAUUAUGCUAGUUGCAUAAUCCAUUAUAUUAAACAAGCAGAAACAUGGCAAAACAUGUUAAAGUUCAGUUAAGCACACCACUGAAAAAUUCAGUUAAGUCAGUUAACAAGCAGAUAUAUACUAAUAUAUACUAAACAAGCAGAUAUAUACAUAAUAUAAUAGACAAAUAAGCACAUCACUAAUAUUGAAAGAUGGCAAAGUUCAGUUAACAAGCAUCACAAAUAAGCAUGUACUUAACUAAACAAGCAGAUAUGAGAUAUAUACUUAAUAUAAUAGACAAAUAAGCACAUCACAAAUAUUGAAAGAUGGCAAAGUUCAGUUAAGUCAGUUAACAUGCAGAUAUACACUAAUAUAUAUAUUAAUCUAUACUAAUAUUGAAAGAUGGCAAGGUUCAGUUAAGCAUUUACUUAACAAGCAGAUAUAUAUUUAACAAGCAUAAAAUCAUGGACUUCUGAGUACCCUCAUGGUUGUAGCUAUAGGAGUACAAUUUGUCCAGACUCCAGACAUUAUUAUUUGUCUGAUUGAGAUGUAGAGAUUGUCUAGGACCAAGGGAACUUUGCAUUUGAGACUUACAGACUUCAAAAUGCCAGUUCCAGAUUCCUACUUACCGAAAAUAUCUUAUGUACAUUCAGUGCACACUUGGCAAUAUGUUUCUGGUCAUACUAGUACAAUUCAUAGAGAUUACCAAUACUUAGCUAGGAUCAAGGGAACCUGACAUGGGAGGAUUCAGGUAGAUGGAUGUAACAUAUACAUUUUUUAUAUAAUUGUGUUAAGCAAAAAAAAUCUUUUAUAUGACUGAACAUGUUAUUAUGUAGCUUAGUUGUCUUGUCGAUUUUUUUCAUCCAUCUGGCCUUAUGAUUCUCAUGGAUGCACAUAUGAAUAGUUGUAAAAAAACAAACAUAUAUAACUGACUACUUAUGAAUAGUAGUUAUCUUACAGUGAAAGCUAGUGAAUUUUGACAUCAGUGAGUAUCGUCAAUUAUUUGAUUGGAGGUUCCAAUGCAAAACAAGGGUGCUGCACGAAGUAAUUGAACAAAAAAACAAGAUAUCUGGAUGCAAACAGAAAAAACACACUAUUUUACAACUAAACAUAAUCAGGAAACAGAAAAAAAUAAACAGAUAUGUACUUAACUACACACGAUCAGGCCAACAACUAAACACAACAGGAAAUCAAGACUGUACAAAUAAGCAGAUAUGUACUUAGAAAUAGAGGAGUAUGAGGUAAAGACUGGCCUGUGUAUGAGGUAUUAGCGAAUCUAGGUCAGGCAGCAGAUCUAGGUCAGGGGGAGAUGACCUUGCAACAAGACCGAAGGAUUAGUAUAAUCGAAGCAAAAAAAUACAAGAAAAUGUUAGGACGUGUUUGGUUUGCGAAUUCAGUUGAUCCGGCAUGAGCUGCUCCUGCAUGAGGUCGUCCGUUGUUUUUCUGGGAGUGAACCGGUGCUGCAUAAUUGCACUUCUAACGAACGCUACAUGGAGCAUCUGAUGUCGGACGACACAGAUCUGUGAUGUAAACCAAACAAAUAUAUUAGUUUCAGAUAUAGGACCGGAUGAUUCCGGACGCCGAUGUCCGGCAAACCAAACACGUUGUUAAAGAACAACAGAUCUAGAUGGGGGGACAAACCUGAGAAGAUGCGAUUGUUGGUGCAGUGAGCUGAUUUGGGACAGGGGAAAGUGUUCACUCGCAGAUGAGAGCCGAUCGAGGUCGCAGGAAAAAGAAAGAGAAGGCCGGGUUGUGGGUUGGGCCAGGCAACCAAACACAUCCUAAGAGUGCUUCCCCUUUGGAGAUUCCCCAGACAAACAAUUCUUGUGCUUCAGCACUGAUAGUGUUACCAGGAACAACCAACCUGAGCAAAUUGAGUCAUAAACCUGAGCCGAAGGAGCAGAAAGCGGUGGAGCGUGAGAGUAUGAAUAGAAACCCCACUUCGUUUCAGACAUGUGAAGGGACCAGUCAAGCAAAGGUUAGUGCAAGUGCUAAGUUCACUGACCCAUCCGAGGUUGGUGACAGGGGUAACAGUGGAAGAUGCAGGCCUAGCACAAGCAGUGACAUCAGCGACGAGAGCUCAUGCAGUAGCAUGAGCAGCACGAAGCCUCACAAGGCGAACGAUUCGCGGUGGGAGGCGAUCCAGACGGCCAGAGCUAGAGACGGGAUCCUUGGACCGAGUCAUUUCAGGCUGCUGAAGAGACUAGGCUCCGGCGAUAUUGGCAGCGUGUAUCUCUCGGAACUGAGUGGGACCGCGAGCUAUUUCGCGAUGAAGGUUAUGGACAAGGCAUCACUUGCAGGUCGGAAAAAGCUGCUUCGGGCUCAAACAGAGAAGGAGAUUUUGCAAUGCCUGGACCAUCCUUUCCUCCCUACACUUUACACUCACUUGGAGACCGACAAGUUCUCCUGCCUAGUCAUGGAGUUCUGCCCCGGUGGAGACCUUCACACCCUUCGACAGAGGCAGCCUGGCAAACAUUUUUCGGAGCAAGCCGUCAAGUAUGCCUUAUCUGCAAUUUACCGUCUGUGUGUAUUGCAUUUCACUGCCCAGAUGUGCCUAACAGAAUUCUACAUAGCGGAAGUCCUCCUGGCACUGGAGUACUUGCACACGCUCGGUAUCAUAUACCGCGAUCUCAAGCCUGAAAAUGUCCUUGUCCGGGAGGACGGGCACAUCAUGCUCUCGGACUUCGACCUCUCUCUUCGUUGUGCUGUCAGUCCAACACUGAUCAGGUCCUCAAACCCUGACGCAGAACUGCAGAAGCGCUCAGGAAGAGCAGCCAAGGCUACUGUGUUGAGCCAGCCUGUGUUGAGCCGUCCUGCAUCACUCAACCGUCGUGUGCAGCCCCAACCACCUGCUUCGGCCCACGCCUGUUCUCCUCCAAGUCCAAGACCAAGAGAGACCGGUAACCAAAACCAGAAGUUGCCACCCCGAUCAGCCCUUGGCCUGAGCUCAUAGCGGAGCCCAGCGAUGCACGGUCGAUGUCGUUUGUGUGCUAUAUUGUUUUUCCGUUGGUAGAUUUUUUUGAGGGGUACUUUUACACUUUCUUAAAGUUCACAUCUGUAAUUCAGCAAGUCCUGAUUGUACUGAUCUCCUGCAAUGCCUUUGCAAAACAUUGUCAUUUUUUUUGUAUUCCAUCAGUUCCAAAUUGGAAGUCGUUUUAGUUUGUUC